rnacentral:rRNA from 1 species
GCGCACCAGGCGCGAAACCUCCGCAAUGCGGGAAACCGUGACGGGGUCACCCCGAGUGCCACCCGAUGAGGGUGGCUUUUCCCCGGUCUAAAAAGCCGGGGGCAAUAAGCGGGGGCGAAGUCUGGUGUCAGCCGCCGCGGUAAUACCAGCCCGCCGAGUGGUCGGGACGUUUAUUGGGCCUAAAGCGUCCGUAGCCGGCUCGGUAAGUCCCUCCUUAAAUCCACGGGCUCAACCCGUGGGCUGGGAGGGAUACUGCCGGGCUAGGGGGCGGGAGAGGCCGAGGGUACUCCCGGGGUAGGGGCGAAAUCCGUUAAUCCCGGGAGGACCACCAGUGGCGAAGGCGCUCGGCUGGAACGCGCCCGACGGUGAGGGACGAAAGCUGGGGGAGC